rnacentral:lncRNA from 1 species
AGACCCCGAAGAACAAAGGACCACAUAUCUGCUGCGGUCAUGUAUACAAAUGACUGUAAGUCAGGGUGAUAAAUGCUACAAAGGGAGCACAGCAAGGUCCAGAGAGGACAGAGAAGAGGUCAUCAGCUCUGCUGGAUGUGUUCCAGGUUCAUCCUUUUGGACACAGGAUUUUGAUUGGUUAUUGUGCGCUCUUGGUGUGAUUGAGGACCCAUCUUCCUACUGUGUUAUGAAGAUUUGUCAAGAGGACAGAAUGAGAGGAAUCAGACAGAACCUGACAUGUCAGGUGUUGGCAGCCCAGGGUUCAUUGGUAAAGGGGCUCCAUGACCUCAGGGAUCCAGGAUUCUUCUAUCUUUUUGCUCUCAUUCUCAAUACAUGGCUUCCACCUCAUGAUGUGAAAUAAGCUUUGUGUCUGUCUUCCAUCCAUCUGGAAGAAGCAAGAGUGAAAGUGCCUGCCCCCUUCCCUUAAGGAUACAUUCCAGAGGGAAGGACUCAAGAUGAACACAGAAGUGGACUCACAUGUGCACUAAGAGAUAAGUCAGAGCAUGUUAACUGAAGUAUUGCUUGUGAUAAAGACAGACUGGAAACAACCCAAGUGCCCAUCAACUGAAGAGUAGAUAAAUAAAUUAUUCUGUAGUCAUUCCAUGGAAUCCUAUUUGGCAGAUAAAACGAAUAAGCCAGAUCUGUGUGUAUCUACACAUGUAAGAACAACGUUGAGUGAAAAUAAAGCAUGUUGCAGCAUUAAAGUUUGGCAGAUAAAACGAAUAAGCCAGAUCUGUGUGUAUCUACACAUGUAAGAACAAUGUUGAGUGAAAAUAAAGCAUGUUGCAGCAUUAAAGUAGUGAUGUAAAUUUAAAAA